GGGAAAGCGGAGGGCGCGCCCAGCUCCCGGGCUGAUUGCGCUAACAGUGGCCCCGGUGUUGGGGCGCGUCUGCCGCUGCCCC
ensembl:miRNA